rnacentral:rRNA from 1 species
GACGAACGCUGGCGGCGUGCUUAACACAUGCAAGUCGAACGGUGAAGGGGAGCUUGCUCCCCGGAUCAGUGGCGAACGGGUGAGUAACACGUGGGCAACCUGCCCCAGACUUCGGGAUAACGCUUCGAAAGAGGUGCUAAUACCGGAUACGAACUCCUUGGGCAUCCUGGGAGUUGGAAAGUUUUUCGGUCUGGGAUGGGCCCGCGGCCUAUCAGCUAGUUGGUGAGGUAACGGCUCACCAAGGCGACGACGGGUAGCCGGCCUGAGAGGGCGACCGGCCACACUGGGACUGAGACACGGCCCAGAGUCCUACGGGAGGCAGCAGUGGGGAAUAUUGCGCAAUGGGCGAAAGCCUGACGCAGCAACGCCGCGUGAGGGAUGACGGCCUUCGGGUUGUAAACCUCUUUCAGCAGGGAAGAAGCGAAAGUGACGGUACCUGCAGAAGAAGCACCGGCUAACUACGUGCCAGCCGCCGCAGUAA